rnacentral:rRNA from 1 species
UACGGAGGGUGCGAGCGUUGUCCGGAAUCACUGGGCGUAAAGGGCGCGUAGGCGGCCUGAUAAGUAGGGGGUGAAAUCCUGCGGCUUAACCGCAGGGCUGCCUUCUAAACUGUCAGGCUCGAGCACAGUAGAGGCAGGUGGAAUUCCCGGUGUAGCGGUGGAAUGCGUAGAGAUCGGGAAGAACAUCAGUGGCGAAGGCGGCCUGCUGGGCUGAAACUGACGCUGAGGCGCGAAGGCUAGGGGGAGCAAACAGG